GGGGCUGACUGGAUUUGACAGCAAGCGCGUUAAAUAGUAAGCAUGUCGAGCAUUGUAUUUUAGCUCGCAAAUAUCAAAAUUCAUUUUUUUAAAUGGCGAUAAUAAUUACGCUUUAGCUGCUUAAUUUAUAUAAUUAUGUAAGCUUUUGUCUCUUUUAUAGGACCUCUUGAUUCCUAUAAAAUAUGAGGCAUAAUCAAUUUCAAGAUAGGUAGUUUAUUGCUUUUAUAUACUAGCGAAAUUUUAAAAAGCUAAGGAUUAGGUUUGGUUGCUUAUUUCCUGCCUAAUUUCGAAAACCAAAAUUAGAUAAACAUGUAGAAAGCUAUUCUACCCCUUGUUUGGACGGGGGUUCGAUACCCCCCAGCUCCACCA
rnacentral:tmRNA from 1 species